rnacentral:tRNA from 2 species
GCGGUUGUGGUGGAAUUGGCAGACACGCUAUCUUGAGGGGGUAGUGCCCACCGGGUGUAUGGGUUCGAGUCCCAUCAACCGCACCA